rnacentral:rRNA from 1 species
UGAUCUCAGAAGCUAAGCAGGGUCAGGCCUGGUUAGUACUUGGAUGGGAGACCACCUAGGAAGACCAGGUUCUGUAGGUG